rnacentral:miRNA from 1 species
UGGGCUUGUAGAUUAACUUGGA